rnacentral:rRNA from 1 species
CCGAUGGAGGGGGAUAACUACUGGAAACGGUAGCUAAUACCGCAUAACGUCGCAAGACCGAAGAGGGGGACCUUCGGGCCUCUUGCCAUCGGAUGUGCCCAGAUGGGAUUAGCUAGUAGGUGGGGUAACGGCUCACCCAGGCGACGAUCCCUAGCUGGUCUGAGAGGAUGACCAGCCACACUGGAACUGAGACACGGUCCAG